rnacentral:rRNA from 7 species
AACGCGAAGAACCUUACCAGGUCUUGACAUCCUCUGACAACUCUAGAGAUAGAGCGUUCCCCUUCGGGGGACAGAGUGACAGGUGGUGCAUGGUUGUCGUCAGCUCGUGUCGUGAGAUGUUGGGUUAAGUCCCGCAACGAGCGCAACCCUUGAUCUUAGUUGCCAGCAUUUAGUUGGGCACUCUAAGGUGACUGCCGGUGACAAACCGGAGGAAGGUGGGGAUGACGUCAAAUCAUCAUGCCCCUUAUGACCUGGGCUACACACGUGCUACAAUGGAUGGUACAAAGGGCUGCAAGACCGCGAGGUCAAGCCAAUCCCAUAAAACCAUUCUCAGUUCGGAUUGUAGGCUGCAACUCGCCUACAUGAAGCUGGAAUCGCUAGUAAUCGCGGAUCAGCAUGCCGCGGUGAAUACGUUCCCGGGCCUUGUACACACCG